rnacentral:piRNA from 1 species
UACUUCUUCUGGGGUGUACCAUAGAAGGGU